GUAUAAAGUAGCCAUAAGUUUCCGUGUCCAACUUUGAUCGACCGUCUUAUUUGAAUUUUUUUAUUAAUAUUUUUGUUGUUAUUAUAUUAUAAAACAUGAAUAAUAGUUUAUGCAUGAUUUAUGUUUUUUUUAUUUUUUUUAAAAAAAAUCAAAUAAAACGGAUAAUUAUAGUUAGACACGGAAACUCAUGCUGCGCUUAUU
rfam:Oryza glumipatula chromosome 4, whole genome shotgun sequence.